AAGUAAUAUUUAAAAUUCUAUUUCUAAAAUAAACAUGAAAUUUUCCCCAAUUCUUCAAAUUUGGAGAAAUCACAUCUAUGCUAUCACUGGAAUUAGUGUUUUGUAUUAAUUAACUUUUCUCUGGCUGCUGGAUCACAAAACUCAUCUUGAUUUUUGUUCAAUGAUACUUUACCUAGCAAUGUUUAUAAACUCUCUUAGAAACCAUAAUAAAGGAUCUACAGAUUAUUUUCUGUUUUCUAUGCAGCAAAUUUUAUACAACAAAGACAAUGACAGAGUUAUGGACUGAAUAUUUGUGCUCCUGCUAAAAUGUAUAUAUUGAAGCCCCAACCAAGUAUGGCUGUUACUUGAAGAUGGAGCCCCCCAAAAAAACUAAUUAAGAUUAAAUGAGAUCAUAAAAGUUAGGCCCAGAUCCAUUAGAAUUAGUGUGUUUAUAGAGACACCAGAGGCUGAACGAACCAACUCUUUCUCUCUCUCCCUCCCUCCUCUCUCUCUCUCUCCCCCUCUACCCCCUUUCAUCCUAUCCUCAUCUCCAACAUGUGCACACGCCAAGAAAAUGUCAUGUAAGGACAAAGCAAGAAAGCAGUUAUUAGCAAGCAAGGAAGACGUCCUCAACAGAAACUGACACCAUCAGACUUAAUAUGGGACUUCUAGCCCCCACAGCUAGAAAAUAAAUUUCUGUGUUUAAGCCACUCAAUCUACUAUAUUUCAUUAUGAUGACAGCCCUAGGUUUUUCUUCUGUGAUAUUUUCAUCUUUUCCUGAAGUGAAAUUAUGUUGUUGAUAAAACCUCAACUUUGUUUUUGUGAAAAUGUAUUCAAAUUUCCAUUGUUCUCAAAUAUCCACAUAUGGUAGAAAAGAAAAGUGACCAACUAAAAUAAAGAUUAAAAUAUUGAAAUAUUCAA